AAAUCCUCAAAUAAUUUACACCUAAACAGGGCCUAAUCAAGGUAUAGCACACCAAAUUUCAGCUUAAUUGGGCAAAGGGAACCAUAUCAAUGAAAAUCAACAAAAACAGACACAAUUACAUGCUCUAAACCACAAUAUCAACACAUGCAUUUACUUCAAAAAUUCAUAAGUCAAUGAAAACAAUAAAGAAAUGGAUGGGACCAAAACAGGGAUGUCACAUCAUGUGUCUACAACUAUCAUACCAAAUUUCAUGAUCAUACAAAACCACAUGAGCAUUUCACAUAAGAUCUACCAACAUAUGUCAUACAAGCUUGUAUAUUUGACCAACAGAGAUGAAA
rnacentral:lncRNA from 1 species